UCUCGCCAGCAUGCCACCUGCUUCCCGCCCCCUGUCCGCCUUAACUUUAUGACUUGAGGGCAGCACACAGGAAUGUGAAGAGCGUGACCAUGAAAGCUCUGUACAUUAUGUGCUUGACCUCAGCAAACCCUCGCCGACGAUUAAUUUCACAAACACAAAGGUGGUAUCGAGC